rnacentral:lncRNA from 1 species
CAAAACUCGGAGCAAGCAAUGCAGAUAAAUGUUAUGUGAUUGUGACACGGGGUUGUCUUAAACCCAUGAUACAAUCAAAUAGAUGAUGUGAGCAUGUUCUUAUCCAAUGAAAGACCUCAGGCUAAUACAGGAGGUGAAAUACAGUGACCCUCACAGAGAGAUUCCCACCUAGAUCAUAUUCUGGUGGAAUUUUCAACCCUCAGAUAACCCUACAAACCAGGGACUGUUCAACCACAUCCUGUGGCCAUCCCUGGCCUGACACCUGUUUUUGUAUGGCCUAGAGCUGACAGUGGCUUUUAUCAUUUUAAAUGGUUACAUUGUAAAUGAUGCUAUACAUACCUAUGGAAUAUCCCCAAAGUUGAUUCUUGAGCCACAAAGACUAAAAUACUUCCUUUUAAAAUUUAUUUUUAUGUUCUUUAAUUUAAUAGAGAUGAGAGUUCACUGUGUGGCCCGGACUAAUCUCAACUCCUGGGAGCAAGCAAUUGACCCAUCCUACCCUUCCAACACACUUGGGAUUACAGGCGUGAGCCACGGUGUCCGGCCACGAAGAUUAAAAUUCUUCUUAUCUGGAUAUUUAAGAAAAAGUUUCCCAAAUCCUAAAAAAGAAAAAGUACUGAACUAUUUCUGAAAAGGCCCAAACUUAAGCAGAACAGGAGACUCAAAAAUAAAACCAUAACAGGUAUCAUUUUUGAGUCUGACAGGUUGGCAAAAACUUCCACUUUCAACAAUGUACUCUGAACAAGUACUUCCGGCUGGCAUUGAAAAUUGGUAGAAUCCCUCUGGAGGGGAAUCUGACAACAACGGGUGAAAAUUACACACACACAUCUUUCUGACCCUCAAUUUCACUUUUAGAAAUGAAUCCUGUGGUCAUAUUCACACAGGAACUCAAAGGAGGCUGCACAGGGAUGUUCGCUGCAUUGUUAUUUAAGAUCAAAGUUGUGGCGAUAACCAUCAGAAUGUAGUUGCUAAAAUUCUACCCACAGUGUGGGAGAUGGUGAUGCAUGUAGGGUGAAGACAUCCCUGAAAAAAGCAGUGACUGCAUCAAUCAGGAAGCUCCUUGUCACUGUCCCUGCAUUUGAAGAGCUAACAAGAGUUGCACAUUCAGGGACCGCGGCACACAAGCAUCAGGAAGCUGUCCCUGUCCUGGAUGAGAAACCACAGAGCGGGUUUCCUUUUGGAAUUCAUGGUGGAAAGGGAAGGAGCUGAGAGAGAAGAAUUCUCAAGGCCGCACUGCAGGAAGCCGCUUGCACUGGAGUCAUCUCUGAAACCAUGACAAGUGCAUAGAGCAGCUAUUUGAGCACCAGGAAAGGAAAUGGUACGCAGCAGUUUGGGAUGGCCCCAGCAGAUGAAAUACAACAGGGUCGGUGUGAGACUUCUGGAUUUCCUCUGUGUCCCCUGGCUGGGAUCCAGACAGCCUCAGGCCUGGAGGGGCACAAACCUGAAAACAAAAAGAAGUCCGGAAAGUCCUCUUGCUCAGGAUUGAAGAUAGGAAAAGAAGCUUGUUUGGCUCAAAGUGAAGGCUCAGUCCCCUGCACAAGCAGGUGGUUCACACCUGUGUUCUCAUCUCUCUUACACCAGCGCCUCUCCCUGGGUUCACACCAAUGUCCUAUGGAUGGAGAUGGGGCUUCCUGCACCAGGUCACUCCUCAGCCACUGUAACCUGAAGGGGUGCAGACCAGCACUGUUCAUUCACAAUAUGAUGUGAGCCUCAUGGAAAUCUGAAUGUCUAGUCAUCGCAUUAAAAAUACAAAGGGAAGAAG